AAUUAGGUCAGUAAAGGAGGGUGGGGCAAGGAGCCCUCAUUAACAUAUCGAUGUUUUCAUUGGCCGGUGAAACUUCGCUCUGCGCCGGCGCGCUGGAGGAGGAGAAGGUCUGGCUCUACUCUGACUGGAAAGCUUCUUCCUCUUCUGUCCUGCGUUGUUUUUUCCCGGGCGCGUUUGCAGGUACAAUGUGUUCUUUUUUAUCAGGUAAAGCCGCUGAGCAAAGAGAACCACUCAACGUUUCAUUUUAUUUCCACUUAAUAACUAAGUGAAACUGGCUUCAGAGAACCCAGUUCAUUCAACAUGUGAGCAGAGAGCAGGUAGGAAAUGACUGCAUUACUUCAAGCCUGACACACCAGAGAGGCACUAGGAAUGCUUUAAUGUAAAUCGUGAGUCUGUGUGGAUCUGUGACAACUUGCUGCCAAAUAGAAAAAGAUACCCUCUU